GACGAACGCUGGCGGCGUGCUUAACACAUGCAAGUCGAACGAUGAAGCCGGAGCUUGCUCUGGUGAAUUAGUGGCGAACGGGUGAGUAACACGUGAGUAACCUGCCCUUGACUCUGGGAUAACUGCGGGAAACUGUAGCUAAUACCGGAUACGACCCUCGGAGGCAUCUCCUGGGGGUGGAAAGAAUUUCGGUCAAGGAUGGACUCGCGGCCUAUCAGCUAGUUGGUGAGGUAAAGGCUCACCAAGGCGACGACGGGUAGCCGGCCUGAGAGGGGGACCGGCAACACUGGGACUGGGACGCGGCCCAGACUCCUACGGGAGGAAGCAGUGGGGAAUAUUGCACAAUGGGCGCAAGCGUGAUGCAGCAACGCCGCGUGAGGGAUGACGGCCUUCGGGUUGUAAACCUCUUUUAGCAGGGAAGAAGCGAAAGUGGCGGUACCUGCAGAAAAAGCACCGGCUAACUACGUGCCAGCCGCCGCGGUAA
rnacentral:rRNA from 1 species